CCUACGGGCGGCAGCAGUGGGGAAUAUUGGACAAUGGGCGAAAGCCUGAUCCAGCCAUGCCGCGUGUGUGAAGAAGGCCUUCGGGUUGUAAAGCACUUUCAGUGGGGAAGAAAGCCUUGGGGCUAAUACCCUCGAGGAAGGACAUCACCCACAGAAGAAGCACCGGCUAACUCCGUGCCAGCAGCCGCGGUAAUACGGAGGGUGCGAGCGUUAAUCGGAAUUACUGGGCGUAAAGCGCGCGUAGGCGGUCUGAUAAGCCGGUUGUGAAAGCCCCGGGCUCAACCUGGGAACGGCAUCCGGAACUGUCAGGCUAGAGUGCAGGAGAGGAAGGUAGAAUUCCCGGUGUAGCGGUGCAAUGCGUAGAGAUCGGGAGGAAUACCAGUGGCGAAGGCGGCCUUCUGGACUGACACUGACGCUGAGGUGCGAAAGCGUGGGUAGCAAACAGGAUUAGAUACCCUUGUAGUC
rnacentral:rRNA from 1 species